CGUUCAGGGGUAAACCUGUGAAACUCGAAUGAACGAACGGGGAGAUUCAUCGUCACUCAGCGGGCGGCGCUGGCGGCGUGCGAUGGGUGGCCCUCCGGCGGCUUCGGUCGUCCGGUGCGAGCUGUUCACGCGCCCGCUUUGCGCAGUCAGUCCGCUGACGUCGUGCACUUCUCCCUUAGUAAUGCAUCGCGACCCGCUCGAUACCGGUCUAAGCCCCGUUCGGAUGCACGCGGCGC
rnacentral:rRNA from 1 species